CGGACGGGUGAGUAAUGUAUGGGGAUCUGCCUGAUGGCGGGGGAUAACUACUGGAAACGGUAGCUAAUACCGCAUAAUGUCUGCGGACCAAAGCGGGGGACCUCCGGGCCUCGCGCCAUCAGAUGAACCCAUAUGGGGUUAGCUUGUAGGUAAGGUAACGGCUUACCUAGGCGACGAUCCCUAGCUGGUCUGAGAGGAUGAUCAGCCACACUGGGACUGAGACACGGCCCAG
rnacentral:rRNA from 1 species